CGCCUUGUUAUCAAAAACAUGUUUUUUUGUUUAUUUAUUUAAGAUUGGCCCUGCUCAAUGAUAUUUAAAUAGCCGCGGUAAUUUAACUGUGCAAAGGUAGCAUAAUAAUUAGUCUUUUAAUUGAGGUCUGGAAUGAAUGGGUUGACAAGGAAAUAACUUUAUUUAUUAAUUUUUUAGGAAGUAAAAAUUUUGUUGGGGUGACAUAUAAAAUUUUAAACUUUAUUUUUUCUUUGCUUUUAUUUUUGGUUUAUUUGAUCCUUAAUUUUGGAUUUUAGAUUAAGAUACCUUAGGGAUAACAGCGUUAUAUAUUUGGAGAGUUCAAAUUGAUAAAUAUGUUUGCGACCUCGAUGUUGGAUUAAAUUUAAUUGUGGGGUAGG
rnacentral:rRNA from 1 species